GUGUCACCGUGUCACGUCACCACAUUAGUGUCACCAUGUCACCACGUUACACUGUCACUAUGUCACCAUGUCACUGCGUUACAGCGUCACUGCGUCACCAUGUCACCGUAUCGUGUCACGUAUCACCACGUUAGUGUCACCCUGUCACCAUGUCACCCUGUCACCAUAUCACUGUUAGUGUCACCACGUUAGUCACUGUCACCACGUUACAGUCACUGUGUCACUAUGUCAACGUGUCACCACGUUACAACAUCACUGUCACCAUGUCACUGUAUCGUGUCACCGUGUCACGUCACCGCGUUAGUGUCACUCUGUCACCAUGUCACCCUGUCACCAUGUUACACCGUCACCAUGUCACGUUACACUGUCACUGUAUCACUACGUCACCGUGUCACUGCGUUAGUGUCACUGCAUCACCAUGUCACCGUAUUGUGUCACGUCACCGCGUUAGUGUCACUAUGUCACUGUGUCACCACGUUACCGCGUCACUGCGUCACCAUGUCACUAUGUUACAGUAUCGCCAUGUCACCACGUUACACUGUCACCGGGUCACUACGUCACCACAUUCGUGUCACCGUGUCACUGUAUUGUGUCACCGUGUCACCACGUUAGUGUCACUAUGUCACCAUGUUACAGUGUCACCGAGUCACUAUGUCACCGUGUCACCACACCACGGUGUCACGGUGUCACCAUGUCACUAUGUCACUAUGUUACAGUGUCACCAUGUCACCGUGUGACUGCGUCACCGUGUCACCACGUCACCCC
rnacentral:lncRNA from 1 species